GUCUUCUGCAGAGUUUUGGAGAACGCUGGCCUGGAUGACCCAGUGGAAACUGUAGUGUAACUAAUGACCGGCCCACUGGACGUUUUAAUUGCUGCCUCAUUUCUGCUGGAGCCUGGCUUAUGCUGCAUCUGAGAUAUUUAUAAUCUGAACAUGCUGGAGUUAUGACAUCAUCCGGCACUGCUGACUAUGACAAGCGUUUGGGGAAGCAUGCAAACCGUUCUGUCAUGGGGACAAUGGGUUGUCAGAAGACUUGCAAGAUGGAGAAACUCCUGAAACAGUCGCAGUGGGAAGUAGCAUGGAGCCAGAGACAACGGUCUGGCACAGCAAAGAAGAACAGCCGGAUUAGAGGCACAGAUAAGCUGAGACAUGAAGUGUUACACCUCCAGCUCCCAGGUGUGCAGCAUUUGGACAGCUUUCUAAAGGACAACAGUAGAGCUCUGAGACUCAACCCUGAGACCCUGAGCCACCAAAGACAAAAGCAGAAGUUACUGGAGACUGAGAUCAGCACCAGAAGAAAGGAGUGUGAAGCACUUGAAGCAGAGGUGAAGAAAAAGAACCAAACAUGUCAGACUUUGGAGAAUGAGCUUGAAGAUUUCCUCCAGGAGAACAAACAUUUGAACCUCCAGUUGUUCAACAAUAGCCACAAGACAUCUGAGUAUGAAAAGGUGAAGUUUGAGUAUGCCCAGCUCAAAGAGACCCUUGGUGCUGUGACGCAGGAGAGAGAUUUAGCCCUGUGGGAGAGGAACCAGCUCCAAGGCAAACUGGAGAACCUAGAGCAGGUGCUCAAGCAUAUGCGCGAGGCUGCAGAGCGGAGGCAGCAGCUAGAGUUGGAGCAUGAGCAGGCCUUGGCUGUACUCAAUGCCAAGCAGCAGGAGAUUGAAGUUCUUCAGAAGGCUCAGGUUGAGGCAAAAAAGGAACAUGAAGGCGCAGUCCAUCUGUUAGAGAACCACUUGGACAGCAUGCAGGCCAAGGUCCGCGAGCUGGAGGAAAAAUGUCGGUCUCAGAGUGAGCAGUUCAACCUCCUUUCAAAAGAGCUGGAGAAGUUCCGGCUCCAGGCUGGGAAGUUUGAUAUCCUCAGCACUGAACCCCUAACUCUAUGUGAAUCUCCUGGGUCGCCCAACAAAUCCCUCUCACAGCUCCUUAAUGGACUGGCUGCCCCCAUAGGAAAAGGCAAUGAGGCUCCAACAAGCAGAUCUUUGAUAUCUGAGUUCAUUCGACCACUCCAGAUCAGUGGAGACAAGCCUGAGCUCCUCUCUGUCAAGCCAACAUUCCUCACUCGUGGCCGAGUCAGCAGCCCAGCACGGGCUUCCCACUCGGAGAUGGACAAAGAGCUCAGCUCAACUACCAGGUCUAAACUAAGGUUUACGGGAAAGGUUCGUCUGUGUCUUGCUCGGUACAGUUACAAUCCUUACGAUGGCCCUAAUGAGCAUCCUGAGGCAGAGCUCCCCCUGGUGGCAGGGAAGUACCUCUACGUUUACGGGACGAUGGAUGAGGAUGGCUUUUAUGAAGGAGAGCUGCUAGAUGGACAGCGGGGACUCGUCCCAUCCAAUUUUGUGGAAUUUGUCCAAGAUGCGGAGACACCCUCUGCCAAACACAGGGACACAGUGGCUAAAGAACCUGGCUACCUCAACCACAGUAGCCUGGAGCCUCAGAGACUGAAAUUCGGCACAGGAAUGGGAACGAGCAUAAGCAGCCUGCUAUCGGACAGUAAACUAGACUGUCUAAGCACCAGCAGCUUGGGCAUGGACCUCCUGGGCUCCUCCAGCAAUGGGACAGGAACCUUGGAUGUCAGCACUGACGAGGUUGGUGAAGACAUUGUGCCUUACCCCCGCCGCAUCAACCUGAUUAAACAACUGGCCAAGAGUGUGAUUAUUGGCUGGGAUCCUCCUGUGGUCCCACCGGGCUGGGGCUCCAUCAGUGGCUACAAUGUCUUGGUGGAUAAGGAGGUGCACAUGAGUGUCCCCUACGGGGGCAGGACAAAGUCUCUUCUUGAAAAGCUCAAUCUGGCCACCAACACCUACCGUAUCUCAGUGCAGAGCAUUACCGACCGGGGCCCGUCGGACGAGCUCCGGUGCACUCUGCUCGUGGGAAAGGAUGUGGUGGUGGCACCUUACUACCUGCGGGUGGACAGCAUCACGCAGGUCUCUGCUGAGCUCUCUUGGAUGCCCAGCAACAGCAACUACAGUCACACCAUCUUCCUCAAUGGUGCAGAGUACGACAUGGUCAAGGCGGGGGGCUAUAAGUACAAGUUCUUCAACCUGAAGUCCAUGACAGUUUACAAGGUGAAGGUUGUGGCGCAGCCGCAUCAGGUGCCUUGGCAGCUUCCGAUGGGUCAAAGGGACAAGAGGGAAAUCUCUGUGGAGUUCUGCACUCAGCCUACAGUGUGUGUGUUGUGCUCCUUAGGGCCCCCUCUUCCGCCCCAGGAGGUGCAGGUCCAGUGUGGUCAGACGCCGGGGGUCCUGCAGGUCAGAUGGAAGCCGCCACCUCUGACUUCUUCAGGAACCUCCAACGGUGCCAGUGUGAUUGGCUAUGCCGUGUGCACAAAGGGACAAAAGAUAGCAGAGGUAUUAUACCCCACAGCAGACUAUACGACUGUGGAGUUAAACAGGAUCCAGUGUCUGGAGGCCAGGGAACUCAUUGUAAGGACGUUAUCAACACAAGGAGAGUCCCAGGACUCGCCCGUGGCCAUCAUCCCGCACAAUCUCUUGGGCUCUCCACGCCUCUCCCACCGAACCAUUGCACCUUCCCACACUAUGGUGCUCCCGCAGUCCCAUCCGGUACACUCACAAACCCAGCCUCCUUAUCCGUCAACGUAUCCCCUGAAUCAUCCUCAGCCCCAGGUGCAGCCUCUGCCUCGAACCCAGCCCCACACGCUGCCCCACGCACAGCCGCACUCGCAGCCCCUCUGCCAACCCCCUUCUCAUUCCCAGCCUCAUUUCCAGUGCCACCCCAUGCCCAAGUCCAAACCGUUAGUAAGUGCCAGAGAGCCCGAAACCAAAGAGCACGAGGUGGGAUUGCGGACAGCCCAGCCCUGGGAGCGAUCCCCAUCUCCGCUGCCUCCCAUGCGUGGACCCAACCUGGAGCCGCCGCACUUCCACCCACGGCGAUCUCCCUCUCCUCAGAGGAUUCUGCCACAGCCUCAGGGAGUCCCCAUCCCCAACACCAUCGCCAAGGCCAUGGCCAGGGAAGCUGCCCAGAGAGUGUUUGCCGAGGGAAAUCAGUUUGAGAAAAGGAACAUCUUUAGUGAGCGAGGUAACGCCUCGCAUCCACUCAACUCUGACGAGGAGGAGGAUGGCUACGACUCUCCUCAUGCGAGGAGAAGAGGAGCCUCGGUGGAUGAAUUCCUCAGAGGCUCAGAGUUGGGCAGACAGCACCAUCAUCCCCACUACAGCCACAGUGAGGAGUACCACACGGAGAGUAGCCGGGGUUCGGACCUGUCCGACAUAAUGGAAGAGGACGAGGAAGAUCUUUACUCUGAGAUGCAACUGGAAGAGGGUCGUAGGCGCAGUAUCAACUCUCACAACACUCUUAAGGCAUAUUACAAGCGUCAGGACUUAGCCGAGGAAAGAGACUGCUGGGACCUCCAAAGGGAGGUGGUGAAGCAGAAGUCGCUCCGCAGCAAGCGUCUCCACAGCAUCCCCGAGGUGGCCGAGGAAGAUUCGGACUGCGUGGACAGCAUGGGCCAGCGCCUGUGUUUCGAAGAGGGCGGCCGGCCGGGAACGCCGCACACUCAGCGGAGAAUGUACCCCCAGGACACCCACAUGCACAACCAUCACACCCCUGGCAAGAGCUCCCGCUACCUGCAGCGUCAGCGCUCCUCCCCUCGCUUCACUGAUAGCCGCUACUGCUACAACGCAGACGACCGCAGCUUGGUACGACCCAACCGCCAGAGCACCAAGAGUCCCGACAGUGGUUUAGACUGUGGCAGUGAGGAAGAAGGCUCUCUAGGUCGGGGUUAUCGAGGGUACUAUACUCACGGAAGCCCCAUGCGGGGGCCCGUGCAGGUCAUUCACUGUGAAGGCCCGGUAGAAAGGCGGGCGCUGGCUAUGGGCCGUAAAAGAACUCUGACCCGCCAGUGCAGUAUAGAGGAGGAGUUCUCUGAAAUCCCAGGGACUGCAACCAAGUCGGUACACACAGGUGACUUUAGGAACAGGGAGCACUUUGGGCCUGGUCGGGAGGCUGGUCAGCGAAACUACCCCAGGGAAGGGGCCCUGAGCGAGGGCAGGCUCAACGAGCUGGACAGGGUCUAUUACAGCCCCCACAGGGAGGCUAGGGUCCAGUCUUUGUCCAGGCUCAACCGGGACCAGCCGCUGAUCAUUGGGAACUCAGCAUCACAUGGAAGCGCUGAUCGCCUGGAGCACUCAGGGAGGAGGCCGGUUCACAGUGGCAACCCCCCUCAGCAACGGCCCAUCCCAUCCAUUGAGAUCACCAUGGACAGUAACAGUGAGGGGAGUGAGGGGAACCUCUCACCCGUCAAGGAGGAUGUUUACUAUGGCAGUGUAGCUCGGCGCAGGAUAUGGCUAUCUAUGUCCUCAGAGGAUCAAUAUGAAGGCUAUGGCGGUCGCAGGCACGGGCGGGGACGGCGCUCCCCGGAGUACUACGAGGAGUCUGAGCCGGAGGAGAUGACCCGUGUGUUCGUGGCUCUGUUCGACUAUGACCCCAUGUCCAUGUCUCCCAACCCCGACGCUGCUGACGAGGAGCUGCCAUUCAAGGAGGGCCAGAUCAUUAAGGUCUUUGGGAAUAAAGACACAGAUGGCUUCUACAGGGCGGAGGUCCGAGAGCGCGUGGGUCUGAUCCCCUGUAACAUGGUCUCUGAGAUCCAAACAGAGGAUGACGCCAUGAUGGACCAGCUCCUCAAACAGGGCUUCCUACCACUCAACACUCCUGUGGAGAAGUUAGUGAACUGUGACCGUUUCAAAGAUGGCCGCUCAAUAAAUCGCAGGUCCAGAAAGUCCAAGAGAGAGAGGAACAGGCGGAGUGGCCGCCAGCACCCAAUGUCUACACGGAGGAUGGUGGCUCUGUACGACUAUGACCCCCGAGAGAGCUCCCCUAACGUUGAUGUAGAGUAUGAGGGCAACAGACUGAAUGAGGAGGCUGAACUGACUUUCUGUGCCGGUGACGUCAUCACAGUUUUUGGUGAAAUAGAUGAAGAUGGCUUUUACUAUGGCGAGCUCAAUGGACACAAAGGACUUGUUCCUUCCAACUUUCUAGAAGAAGUGCCUGAUGAUGUAGAGGUUUUUCUCACUGACUCACCAUCUCGAUACCCCCAGGACACUCCUGCACGGAUAAAGACCAAAAGGAAGAAGAGUGUUCAUUUCACACCUUAAAGGCUCUGUUUCCGUCACGUAAGUGAGCAACUGAGGAUACCAAGAUUACGCUCCCCUCGUCUAAUGCAGAUGACAUGGGUACCCUUAGCUUCUGGUGCCAUUGGAAAAAUCGGGUCCGCCCAGAAGAGCAGGCUCUCCCACAGUGCGUCCACACAUCCCUGGCCGUCUCAUCAGGGCCCCACCGGACAUGUACUCCUCCAAAAGGAAAAAGGGACUGCUCUCCAAAGGGAAGACACUAUUGCAAAGACUCGGCGCUGUAAAAUAAUUUGACAUACUUGGAAAGGGUCAACCACUUCCUUGUAAUGUUAAAAGCUAAAAAAAAAUUAAACAUAACACAGUGGGCAGGUGGCCUUUGUGAGCUUAGCAAAUGCUUUAUAUUCUUGUACAUCUGUUGUUGACUAGAAUAUUUGUAUUUUGUUAACAGUAUCAACUACAUAUUUUCAAUAACGCUUCAUUUUAGGAUCCCGCAACCUCGUGGCAUCUUACCGCCAAGUCUCUGACUGAUGUUUUGCUGUAGACGGAGACAAGGCCCGGGGCAUUCUUCCUGUUGCACCUGAUCAAGUCUGAUGGCACUUAGAACACCACAUAGGGAGUGUGACCAGUGUGUCUGUGUACAGAAUGUCAUUCAAACACUGAGGGAUCAUCAGAAAAACCGUGGGAGUCCAUUUUGAAUCUGAAGAAAAAGACAGGGCCUGGUAAAGACGUCAAACAGCCUGCCAGCCACAUAAACUGUACAAGAGGUUUGCAUGCUUUACUUCAGCCCAUUCCCUCCCGACCCCUUGAGAGUGCAUGCAAUGUGACGGCUCGGUAUGGAACCUGGAGCAUGCAGCACUUUAAUACGAUGUGGCUGACUGGCUGCGCAGUAAACUGUAGUGUAACACAUCAGCAGCAUUAACUCCUACGCCCUAUCUUAAUUGUGAGAAACAAGACGAGCCCCCCCCCCCCCGACAUGCCGGACACCUAAAAAUCCAAGCACAUACUGUACCUACUACAGGGUCUCUGCAUUAAAAAUCAGCCUGAAUGGAAAUAGAUUCAGCCUCUAUGUACUUGCCUUAUAAUCGCACAAUGGUUAGUACUUUACCCAGUAGACCGUGCAGUUCCAUGCCUACUAUUCAUUUGUCAGUAAAAUCUGUUUGCAGAUGUUAAUCCUGACUUGUGAUGUGCGAUGUGUGUGACUGUCCGUGAUUUCAAUAGGACAAGAGCUUACACAUUACAGUCCAAGGCUUCUGGUGUUGACAAUGUCAAUCAAUAGUAAAGCCCAAGAAAUUAUUUUCAAUCAUAGAAAACAAUGAA